UACGUAGGUGGCAAGCGUUGUCCGGAAUUAUUGGGCGUAAAGAGCUACGUAGGCGGUCUGUCGCGUCGGCUGUGAAAACCCGAGGCUCAACCUCGGGCCUGCAGUCGAUACGGGCAAACUAGAGUACUGCGAGGGGAGACUGGAAUUCCUGGUGUAGCGGUGAAAUGCGUAGAUAUCGUAAGGAAGACCAGUGGCGGAAGGC
rnacentral:rRNA from 1 species